UCCUGUGGCCUAGUGGUUUGAGCGACUGUCUCAAAUGCUGGAGUUAGUGGGUUCGAACCCCAGCCGAGUAAU